CUACGGGAGGCAGCAGUAAGGAAUAUUGGUCAAUGGGCGGGAGCCUGAACCAGCCAAGUCGCGUGAGGGAUGACGGUCCUAUGGAUUGUAAACCUCUUUUGUCGGGGAGCAAGAACUCUACGCGUAGAGAAGUGAGAGUACCCGAAGAAAAAGCAUCGGCUAACUCCGUGCCAGCAGCCGCGGUAAU
rnacentral:rRNA from 1 species